AUUAAGGGUGGAGCUUUUAACACUUCUUUAAAAUUCUUCCAACAUCCUUUUAAAUUUAUUUUUCAAAUACCACAGUUUAAUUUAUAAAAUAUAAAUCCAUAUAUUAAAAUCAAUUAUCUUACCAUAAAAUUUCUCUCCAAAAUGAAUACAUUAUUGGUACCUAAAGAUUUAACCAAACUUUAUUUCAUUUUACAAAUAAAUAAAAUAAAAUUGGACAGUUUCUUUGCUGUCAACAUGCAAAUAUUCUAGAUAUUUUGUAAUCCAUUAAUUUGAAGUUCUCAGUCAAACUACGCUGGACAGUUUGUCUGCACGGUUACUUUUAUUCAAUCUGAGAAUCAAACUAUCACCUUCCGAGGCAUUACAACAUUUGACCGGAUAAAACUAAACGCAAAUUAAUAAUCUACUUUCAUCAUCAAUACAUCUCUUUGCUAUCAUUUUUUUUUACUAAUCUUACAACUAAAACGAAAAACGAAAGCAAAAACAAAUAUGACCACCAUCAUCAUCGUAUAAAACCCGGGAUACAAGACGACUUCUGAUCAUCACAGAGGAUUACCGAAUUGACGAGCAGCAGCUUACAGUGGCAACGAGCAGCAGCACCUGCAGCGGUGGUUUCAAUUUGAGGUUGCACCAGCGGCAGUUUCGAUCGCAAGCAGUACCAGCAGCUUCUGGCAGAGAGAUCAGUGGCAGCAACCCGCGUUCAGUGGAAAGACCGUGACUGCGAUGGAUGUCGUUUACGCUCUCAAGAGGCAGGGCAGAGCUCUUUAUGGAUUUUGGGGUUAAUUGUUUUAGGUUCUGGAAUUGAAUGUUAAUAGAUCUUGACUCUAGAUCUAGAUCUGGUAGUUGGUGUUCUUGGUAGUUUGUUAUUAGGCUGGUGUUUUUGUAAUUCUAUCAAGUUGUAUCCGUGUGUGUUUUGUUUGUGUGUGUUAAGUGCGCGCGCGUUUAGUUCGUGUGUGUUAAGUGUGUGUGAAGACAUUUUGCAUUAGUGUUUGUUGGUGGGGGUUUUUAGGUAAAUGUAUUUGUUAUUAAUAUAUAAUUACAAUAUUAACCUUUUAUUGAUUUAAAAAAAAUAUUUCCGUUAAUAAACGAGCGUGUGAAUGGUUUUAUGUCCUUUCAUUUUCUUUCCCCUCGUACGUCAUACGUCAUAUGUACGGCAUGCAAGUUGCACCACUCAUUACGAGUACACGCUGUCUUAAUUUAACUUUUUAGAAGACUUAUCGAAGACUUUGGUAUGCGCCAAAUUUGCAGAAUCUCGGGGAUCAGGACUCACAACUCACAAGUAGAAAUAUUUGCAGAAAAAGUAAGCAGUUUCAGAAACUACAAUGUUUCCAUUUUCUCAGUUGUUGAAGCUUAAAAAGAGGUUCAUAACUUGGGUACGAUAUUACGUCUGUUUUUGUAAGGCUGCUGCAUUUAUGUCAGGUAAUUUUGCUUGAUGUGGCAUUAAUGUAUUUAUUUAGUUAAGAUGGUGUACUUAAUAUCUUUGAUUAAGUUGGGCUAAAUAAUAAAAACAUGGCAACAGUUCUUAUGUUGUUCUUGUAGUUUUCAUGUGUAUGCUUUUUUCAGUGAGCACGAACAUUUCUUCUAAUGAUUAUAUUCUGAGUCCAGGUUUGUUGAUAAGCGCAAACUGGUAGACUUGGCUGUAGUGGGCGUCUUGAUAACUUACUUCUCCGACUCCGAAUAUUCAGAACUAUUCACACUUCAGAAAGCUGCAAUAUUUACGAGUAUUCAGGAUGGAAUAUUACCAACUCUUGCGGUUGUUGCCGCCUGGAUGUCGUGUUAUGCCAUCCGUCCUCUCAGAAUCCUCAUAUUUUCAACUGUCUCCUACAUCCUUGUGAGUAAAUAUGUUUUAAAUUUGCUAAGCUUCCAAACAGAGACAAAAUUAAAACAUCUGUCUAUGAUCUGCAAGAAAUAUAUAUCCAGGGGUGGACCUGGAUUUUGUAGUACUUUAGGAUAAAUUUAGAAAUUAUUAUUUUGCAGCAUAUGUUAAAUUUCACAGAAUGUAGAGAAAAAUAUACAUAAUAAGAGGAUAUUAGGAGCCUUACCCCUAUGAAAAUAAUGUUAAAGAUCCCAAUAGUUAAGCUAUAAUUGAUGUGGCAUGUAUUCAUUUUGGCUGCACUCCUGAUUAUAAUAAUGAUUAAGAAAAGCAAUUAGUUCCAACAAUUUUUGUUGCAGGCAUUGGGGCUAUUGUUCUAUACAGCGUCCAGAGAUAUUUCAUAAACCAACUUUGAGCUACUCAAUAUGAUAGGAAUUAUCCUGUUAGCAGUGGGUGAAGUUGGAGUGGCACCUCUUCUGGGACCAUUUCUUGCCGAUCAAUUAAGAGAACAUGGUGAAGGAGGGAGCACAGAAAAUACAAAUGAGAAUCAAGUAAUGGCUCAGAAAAGAGUGUGGUGGCGGUUUUCCUGGUGCUGUGGUGUGGCUGCGGCAUUCUAUGCAAAUAAUAUUAAAACAUGGGGGAAGACUUUCAUGUUCACAUUGUUGUUUAUGGGGGGCAGUUUGAUCCUGCUGUUGUUGGGUAUUCCCUUUUAUCAUAGUAGACAAAUACCUCCUGUUGACGGUUUUGCUAUAAUCCAAGUUGUUAAAACUUCCCUGAAGAAAAAGCAUCUCAAUUAUCCUCUUUCUCCGGAGCAGUUCUUCAGUAAUGAUGAGGGAAACGUACUACACUUGUCACCCAGAAUCAAAUUACUCAGGUAUACACCACUUAGAAUUUACUGAUCUUAAGCAUACAAUGUGUUUGGCUAGCAGGAAAGUGACAGAAAAGGAGAAAGAAAAUAAACUGAAUAAGAGAGCUUUAUUGAUCUCGAAUUAUUUUAUUACACACACACAUUCAUCAACUUAUAUUAUUCAUUAACAGCAAAUAACAACUUCUUAGCAGCUGUCAAUUAAACAUUGGUUAAGCUAAAACAACAAUAACGAACUAACUGAUUUGUCCAGCUCAGCUGUCCAGCUCAUCAAUCCUAGUCAAGUGAAUCUCAACCAUUGCUCUGCUGCUGUUGAUUAAUCAUCUCAACACCCCUUCUCAAGCUUAACGGUCGUGGAACAACAUUAAGCUUGUCUCUAUAGUAAUUGAAAAAUGAGUAAGCCAUAGGCUUUGUUAGCACAUCUGCAAUGUUCCACUCACUUGGUACAUACUUGAUUUCCACUUGCUUGCUCGUUACCUUUUCCCUUAUGAAAUGCACAUCCAAUUCUAUGUGCUUAGUUCUAGCAUGAUACACUGGAUUUGUUGCUAAUGCUGCUGCUCCAUUGUUAUCACACCAGAUGAUUGGUAUUUGGCUGCACUUCAGUUUAAGUUCCCCAAGUAAGGCUUGAAUCCAAACAAUUUCAGCACAAGCUGUUGACAAUGCUCUGUAUUCUGAUUCUGUGCUAGACCUUGCUACAGUUUGCUACUUCUUGGAAGACCAUGAAAUAAGAUUCUGCCCAAGAUAUACACAAUAUGCUCCAACUGACUUUCUGUCAUCAACAUCACACGCCCAAUCUGCAUCUGUAUAUGCUGUUAUCCUCAUUUCAUCACCUGCUUUAAACAAUAAUCCAUAAUCUUCAGUUGCCUUCAAGUAUCUUAGAAUUUUCUUACAAGCAAUCCAAUGUUUCUCAGUUGGUGCAGCAAGGAAUUGACUCAACUUAUUCACUGAAAAGGCAAGUUCUGGUCUUGUAAGCACCAAGUACUGCAAAGCACCUAUUAUGCUUCUAUAUUCAGUAACAUUGACAACCAAGUUAUCAUCAUUUCCUACUCUUCUCAGUUUCUGUCCUGUACUCAUUGGAGUAUCACUUUCUCUGCAAUUUUUCAUGUCAGUUCUUGUAAGCAAAUCUCUCACAUAUUUGGCUUGUGAAAGAUGUAAACUACCCUUUGCAGCAUGUGUAACCUCAAUACCAAGAAAGUAGCUGAACUCACCCAGGUCUUUUAAAGCAAAGGUGUCCCCAAGAUAUCUGAUGAAUGUUUCAAUUAUUGUAUUUUUAUCUCCAGUAAUUAAUAUAUCAUCUACAUAUACCAACACAACCACAAUACCUCCAGAUUCAUGUUUGAUGAACAAAGAUGAGUCUGCUUUGGAGUUCUGAAACCCCCACUGCAACAGUGCUUUCCUUAGCCUAUCAAACCAGGCUCUGGAGCCUGUUUUAGACCAUAAAGAGCCUUAUGCAACUUGCAAACAUGACCCGAUGGAGACUGAACAAAGCCCUCAGGCUGAAACAUAUAGACAUCUUCAUUGAGCUCUCCAUUAAGGAAAGCAUUGUUGAUGUCGAUUUGUCUUAUUUUCCAGCCCUUCAUCACAACAAGACUAAGUAUAAUUCUGACAGUUGAUUGUUUGACCACAGGACUGAAGGUCUCAAAGUAAUCAAUACCAGGGGUUUGAUGAAACCCUUUUGCUACCAACCGUGCUUUAUACUUAGAAACAGAACCAUCUGCAUUGUACUUAAUGCGAAAAACCCAUUUACAACCAACAAUUUUAGUAGCUUGAGAGGCUGGUACAAGAAUCCAAGUCUUAUUGUCCAUAAGUGCAUCAUACUCAGCCUGCAUGGCUGCCUUCCAUUUUGAAUCUGAGAGAGCUUGAGAGACUGUAGCAGGUUCUGGUUCUCCAAGAACAGAAGAAUAGGCAAGAAACUUUGGCUUAAACACUCCUGCUUUUGCUCUUGUGAGCAUUGGAUGAGUAGGCUGUAGAGCAUGAGGAUGUGAUGGAUUAUGAUGUGGAUGAGGUAACUGUAUAGGCUGAUUUGAGGAUGGAUUAUGAUUUGGAUGAAGUAUCUGUAGAGCUUGAUCAGGUGAUGAAUUAUGAAUUGGUGGAGAACUAGAUGAAGAGGAAGAAGCUGAAGCUGCUGGCAUCUGAAGCUGUUGUAUAAAGGUGUCACUUGAGCCUGAAGAAUCAGGAAGUGGAACUGACACUGAAGAUACUUUAAACAUAGGAUGUCUAUAUUCAGAAACAGAGGAAGAAUUCUGUUUAGAGAAUAAAGGAUCAGUAGAGAAAGGAAACUCAGACUCAUUAAACACAACAUGCCUAGCAACAUAGACAACACCUUUGGAGCUUAGGCACUUAUAACCUUUGUGAUCUGGACUAUAACCAAUAAACAAACACUUUGUGGUAUGAUAAUUGAAUUUGUGUUUGUUAUAGAACCGUAAAUAUGGAAAACAUGAACAACCAAAACAUUUCAGAAAGGCAUAGUCAGGCUUGUGUUUGUGAAGAACUUCAUGGGGAGACUGAUGGGAUGACAGAACUGAAGUUGGUAAUUGAUUGAUGAGAAAAGCAGAUGUGGAGAAUGCUUCCCACCAGAAACUGAGAGGUAAUUUGGCUUGGGCAAGGAGAGUUAAACCCAUCUCAACAAGGUGUCUGUGUUUUCUUUUUACUCUACCAUUCUGGUGAUGUGUAUGAGGACAGGGAUGUCUGAAUAAGAUUCCAUGUUUUUGAAGAUGAGGUACAAAUGACCUAAAUUCACCCCCCCAAUCUGACUGUAAACUCUUAAUGGCUGUUCCAAAAUUGUUUUUCAACUUGAGUUUGGAAAAUGAUAAAAACAGACAAAGCUUGAGACUUGGUUUUCAAAGGAUAAAUCCAGGUAUAUCUACUAUAAUCAUCAAUGAAACUGAUAUAAUAUUUAUAACCAUUGAGAGAUGUAAUGGGUGCUGGACCCCAUAAGUCUGUAUGAAUAAGCUCUAGUGGUGAGGCUGUUUUGUUUGCAGUUGUUUUAAAAUGCAAUUUAUGAACUUUUCCAUAUUGGCAAGCAUCACAAAAGUCAGGAAGCUGAGUUUUAUUGCUGAAUUGCAAAUGUUUACAAUCAGUAAGAACAUGUUUCAUGACUGUUGAGCUAGGAUGACCAAGUUGCCUAUGUAAGAUAUUUAUUGAAGUGCUGGAAACUGGACUUGAAUGAGACAACAGACAAUUUUGAGCAAUUUUAGCUUGAGUGUUUGCACUAGAACAAGACUGCAAAUCAUCUGAACAAUGUGACACCAUGGACAUUGGAGCAUCAUCAGAACAUGACUCUUUAUUUACAGUAGAAAAUAAGACUUGAUGAAUUUUAUUUCCAGGCUCAAGUUUCAGCUUAUACAGACCCUUCAUAGCCACACCCUCCAGCAAAACUGUCCUCUUCUUCUUGUCCUUGAGAAAACAGGUAUUUCCACAAAAUUCAAUGAUCAAGGAAUUAUCAGAAGUUAGCUUAGAAAUGCUUAAAAGAUUUUUGGUGAUGUGUGGCACAAAUAAAAGAUUUUUGAGCAACAAUUUGUGAUUUCCAACUGCUAAAUGAGUAUUUCCUAUACGAGAAAUAGUAAGGCCAUAUCCAUUUCCAAUUAUAAGCUUUUCAUUACCUUCAUAAGGUUCACUGAUGUUGAGAUUGUUGAGAUCAUUUGUUAGGUGGUGAGUUGCUCCACUGUCCAGAUACCAGCCAUCAUCCAUUACUGUUUCUGGUGUUGCCAAAUAAGCUGACAUAUUUCUUUGACUGUAGCCUUGAUUGAAACCUUGAUUGUAAUUGUUUUGAUGUGGAUACCUUGCUGGAAUAAAAUCCUUGUUGAACCUAUCCUUGCAGGUGGCAGCUGUGUGUCCUAUAAUGAAGCACACUUGGCAUCUAGGUUGAUAUGGCUGUGAAAAAUGACCAGGCAUUUGAGUUCUCCCACCUUGAUUCCAAGAUCUUCCUCCAUGCAUAUUAUUUCCUCUUCCACCUCUCCUUCCUCGAUAAAAAUUUCCACCUUGAUUGCCUCUAAAAUUUCCUUGCAUCAUGUAUCCAGAAUUUUCAGAUCUUGAUACAUCUUGAUUGAAACCAGAUUUUGAGUUGUAUGUUCCAAAACCUUUCUUAUUAUUGUUUCCUUUCUGAACAAAAUUAGCAGCAAAAGCCAGAUUUGCAUCCAUAGUUUCAGCUAAUGCUUGUUGUUCUAACAUUCCCUCAUGUGUCAUUAACAUAGAGAGUGAUUCUGAUAAAUCGAGAUCUAAUCCUCUUCCUGUAAUCAAAACUGCUACAGGAUUGAAAUCUGAACCAAUUCCUCCUAAUACACUUAUCAUAAAGUCAUAGUCACUCAUUGGUGCCCCUGCUGCUGCCAUACUAUCUGCUAUGCCUUUCAUUUUGUGAAAAUAGUCAUAAACACUCAAAUCAUUCUUCUUUGUCAUCAUCAUUUGAUUCUUCAGUUGUAAUGCUCUGGUUUGUUCUGUGAACCAGAGAGUUUUUCCAGAGUCUUCCAAACUUCAAAGGAAGUUUUGCAUCCGAGAACAAUUCCAAGGACACUCUCAGUCAUGGAGGAGAGUAACCAACCUAGCAGCUGCUGAUCAGUUCGCUUCCAUAUCACAAAUUCAGAGUUCGGAGUUCUCUGAUCUGUGUAUGGUGCUGUGAUUGAACCAUCAAUGUAUCCUUCUAAUCCAUUUCCCUGAAUUGAUGCCAAUACUUGGAUUUUCCAGAUCAGAUAAUUUGAUCUGUCGAGCUUGAUUGGUGUAGGAAACGUAUAGGAAACAGUUGUGGUUUGAUUUGAACUUGACGAUGCCAUCUAGCUCUGAUACCAACUUAGAAUUUACUGAUCUUAAGCAUACAAUGUGUUUGGCUAGCAGGAAAGUGACAGAAAAGGAGAAAGAAAAUAAACUGAAUAAGAGAGCUUUAUUGAUCUCGAAUUAUUUUAUUACACACACACAUUCAUCAACUUAUAUUAUUCAUUAACAGCAAAUAACAACUUCUUAGCAGCUGUCAAUUAAACAUUGGUUAAGCUAAAACAACAAUAACGAACUAACUGAUUUGUCCAGCUCAGCUGUCCAGCUCAUCAAUCCUAGUCAAGUGAAUCUCAACCAUUGCUCUGCUGCUGUUGAUUAAUCAUCUCAACAACACCUAACAUGUAUACACCCACAGCCGGCCGUGGUCUGGCAAAAAUUGUCAGAGAGACCCUCUUAUUUUUAGUAAUAAUUGCAUAGACCUCUUUAUGGACACACUGAUAUCCUUUUGUGUUUAGAAAUAGUCACACUGACCUCUAAGAUUUGUCCAAAAGGGUGUAUUUAUAAAAGAAUCUGUGUGAUCAUUUUACCGAACCAUGAGCUGCUGCAUUCUAUUUUCCCUAAAAAAUUAGGAAUAAAUUAAUUGUUUGAAUUGCAGAUGGAUAGACAAAGCGGCAAUUAUAGAGACAUCAAGUACUUCUAAAGAACAAGAAGAGGCAGGCACACUUUGCACUGUGGCCCAGGUCAGGGAGUCAAAAUAUCUUCUUAAAUUGUUACCUUUGUGGUCUAGCUUCAUUGUGUUUGGAUUGGUUCUGUCAGCGGGAAAUACAUUUUUUCCUGAGCAGGGAGCCGAAAAUGAUUUCUGCACGUUACUUAAUCUUUCUACUUACUUUUGAAGCCAUAAUUCUUGCGACGAUCUCUUAUCUGUCGAAGAAAUUAAUUUCCAAGUUUGCUCCGGAAACGAAGAAGAGACAGAUCAAGUAUUGAGAACAUUCAUUGGAAUGGUGAUGUCUACAGUUUGCUGUGUAGUGUCAUGGCAGGUUGAGGUUCGCAGGUUGGAAAAGCGCAAACAAUUGGAAAAUAUCAGCAUGUUUUGGCUUGUUCCACAAUUCUGUCUAUUGGGUCUUAUGGAAGGGCUUGCUUUGCAUGGAUGUGAUGAAUACUCGAGCUCCCAUUUUCCUGAACGGAUGGAGUAUUAUGUAUCAGCAAUAAGUUCUUUUUUCGUCGGAAUUGGAAGCAUUUUUAACAUCUUUUUCAUUUUGGCAAACAAAGGCGACUUUGCUGAAACCCUGGAUGAUAGUAGGCUUGACAAGUACUAUAAGAGUUUAACAGUUAUUAGUGCUGUGAACGUGUGCUACAAUUUGCUCUUGUCGAUUCUCUACAUAGGGAGUGAUCAGAGCGUAGAUAAUGAGGGACUACAGACAAACAAUACUGUAGGGAGCGAUCAGAUCGUAGAUAAUGAGGACUACAGACAAACGAUACUACAGAUGCCGAUGCCCAUCUAAAUCAUCUUAUUUAGCUGCCUUGUUAUAAAAUUGGAGCCCGGAUAGAGAGAGGCUGCUGAACAUGAAUUCUAUUUUCAAGCGACAGUUUCACUUUAGAAAGCAUUGCAUGUACGCAUUAGAUUCCUUGUAGGUAGUUUAGUAUGGUUUAGGCUUUAUAAGGCUAGUGCUCUUGAAUAUAUCUCUUCUCGGUAACAAGGAAGUAUUAUAAUUUUGAUGUUGCUUUGAUAUAUAAAUCCAGGAUCAAACAUCUCCGCAGUUAUGUCCUUGCUGAAUUUUCUAUUUUAAUUUUAUGGAGAAAAGCAUUCUUUUUCUUGAUUGAUUAGGGAAGGAGUCAGAAUUAAAAAUCUAAGAGGCCAAAUUUAUUAAAGUUAAAAUACGCACUAUUAUUAACUUAUGAUAUACUUAAUUAGACUAAAAAAAUCUGCCCGAACGCCACAGAGACAAUUGUAAAAUAUAUCUUUUUUAUGUGCAUACUGGAAAAGCAUCAAUUAACAUGAUAAACAUGUAUAUUUUACAAUUAUUUUUUGCUAACAUUAGGUUAACUUAAUUUAAUUCUUUAUCAUUUAUUUAAAUUUUUAUUUCACCAUUAAAGCUUUCUUUUCAUUUAAGAUCUAGCUUUUAAGCCACACUAUAAGUCCAUAAUAAUAUUUUACAAAUGGAGAAGGUGAAACGUUAACUAUCAAACAACAAUGUAGUGUAGCUAAUUGAAAUUUUAUCCACAUAAAUAUUUAAAUAAUGCAGAAAUUGACUAUUAUUGAUAAUUUAUUAUUGUGAUGUGCCACCCAGUAGUUGGUGGUCCCCGGAAUUGACUAUUAUUGAUAAUUUAUAAUUAUUUUAAUCAUGAUAAAUAACGCAGAUAAUGAGGGACAAUUAAUUUAUGCAGAAUUGACUAUUAUUUAUAUUUAUUAUUGUGAUGUGCCACCCAGUAGUUUGCUCUUGUCGAUUCUCUACACAGGGAGCGAUCAGAGCGUAGAUAAUGAGGGACUACAGACAAACGAUACUACAGAUGCCGAUGCCAUCUAAAUCAUCAAUAUUUUUGUUAUUAUCUACUAAGCAUACUAUAAUCAAAAAGUGUCUUGAUAUCCUUAUUAAAAACUCAGAUUAUAUAUGACCAUUUUUUAAAAUCUUAAGGAUGUUCAUAUCCUUUUUUCUAAAAAUCUCAUAUAAGUUUGUACAACAUUAUUUAUCUAAGUGUUUAUACUUAAUAAUUACUCAUUUCCUAAAUAUAUUACAUGCUGAAAAAGAAAUACAUUUAUAAAUAACUUCAAUAGAAAAUUGUCGGUCUCCGUAACCAUUACAAAAAGAAAGAACUUAGCAAACCUCCCUAAAAUAAAGCAUAAAUCUUGUUUGUAAAAGAAAGGGAUUAUAUACUCAAUGAGCAUCAUUCAUGGUACAGUUUAAUUAUGACCGUCUCAUCAUACGUGUUUCAUACCACCUAAAAUUAUUGAGCUGUACAGUAAGUCAUUAUUUUGUAACUAAAGGAUCCAACUACGGUGCAAGGGGUGCACCAUACCCCUCUUUUUGUCUUUUUGUACUGCCACCAUCGGAUCUAACACAAAUGUAGUUUCAAGGUUAUGGAUGUGUUUAUUUAGUUAUUAAUAAUGCAAUGAGUAAUGAUACAGCCACAAACUCUUGUACAAACUGAUGUGGCAUGAUAAGAUUGAUUGAAUUAAAUAUCACUUGGCCCACGUGAUUUGUUUUUAUUAAUUUAUAUAUUUCAUUCAACCAAUGAAUUAAUGUCACGUCAGUUUGUACAAAAUAAGUUUGUACAAGAGUUUGUGGCUGUAUCAUUACUCUAAUGCAAUCCCUAUUGUUUAGUGAAAAUUUAGAAAAGUCAAAGUUUAUAAAAUUUUACACCAACUUCUUUUUCUCUAAAUACUCUUAGUAAUAAUCAUUAAUAAUCAUUGUAUUACAGUACUUACUCUCACAAAUUAUAAUUAAGAGAUCAAACAUGCAAGAUGCAUCAACAAAGACAACAAAAACUAAGAUAGGUUUUGAAUUUUUAUUAAUGUUCUCACUUUUGGUCAUUUACAAUUUUUUUUUUUAAAAAUAAACAUAUUGCCAUAAUAAAGAGAAGGUUUACUUAUAAAAAUAAUAACAAUAAACCAAUUAUUAGAAAGCCUUAGGUUAGAUUAUUCAAAGAGAAAAUGAAAAGACAUACGGGGGAGAAAGGGAAAGAUACAUAUAAUAAAAGAUAAAAAAAUCAAUUUACUUACAUGUUAAUUUUAUUGUAGAUGAUAAAUAGUGUGCGUAAAAAAAUUACAUCUAUGUAAUUUUUUUAUAUAAAAACUUCAAUUCAUUAUUACUUGUGUAUUAUAGAGCAAAUGAAUCAUAAGGUGAUAAAGAAAUAGCUUGCCAACUUUUUUCUAUUUGCUUGCAAUUGGUUGAUUAUAGGUUUAAUUGAAAAUGGAAAAAAUUGGAAGAUUGUAAAGGUGAGGGGUGAAAGAAAGAGGAAAAAGAAAUUACUUUAAUAAACUGUAAAUACAGAAGAAAGUAAGGGGUGCUGUCAAAAAGAGGGGCACGGUGCACCUGUUGCACCGUAGCUGGAUUAAAGUUACAAGAAAAAAAAANUUAAAGAUUAUGAAGGGGAUUGAGAUGAUAAUGAGAGGAGUCACGAAGAAUGGCCUGUAUGUGUUGGAAGGGUCAUCAGUGCCUGGGUCAGUUGCAAUGCCUGCUAUUUCUAAUGUUAAUAGAACCAUGUUAUGGCACCUUAGACUAGGCCAUAUGAGUAUUAGAGGAAUGCAAGAGCUGAGUAAGCAAGGGCUGCUAUGUGGUGAUAAUAUAGAUGAGUUAGAUUUCUGUAAAAACUGCAUCUUUGGCAAAGCACACAGGUCCAAAUUCACAAAGGGCAUGCAUGUAUCUAAACAACCAUUAAAUUAUGUACAUGCUGAUUUGUGGGGGCCUGCCCAAGUACCAUCCUUGAGUGGGGGAAGGUAUUUUAUGUCAGUAAUAGAUGACUACUCUAGGAAAGUAUGGUUCCACAUACUGAAGACCAAAUACCAAGCCUUAGAGAAGUUCAAGAUUUGGAAGACUUUGGUGGAGACUCAAUCUGGUUUCAAGGUGAAAUGCUUAAGAACAGACAAUGGACUUGAAUUCUGUAAUAAGGAGUUUGAGCAAUACUGCCAGAAAUAGGGAAUUAGGAGGCACAAAACAGUAAGAUUCACCUCUCAGCAAAAUGGUUUAGUUGAGAGGAUGAACAGAACACUUAUUGACAAGAUAAGAUGUUUGCUGAUAAACUCUAAGCUUCCUAGGAAUCUUUGGGCAGAAGCUGUAUCUACAGCCAUGUUCCUAGUAAACAAAAGUCCAUCUGCUGCAAUUGGCUUCAAAACUCCUGAAGAACUCUGGUCAGGAAGACCUGGAAAAUAUGAACACCUGAAGGUAUUUGGAUGCCCUGCUUAUGUCCAUGUCAGACAAUGGAAGCUUGAUGCAAGAGCUAUAAAAUGAGUAUUUGUUGGUUAUCCAGAUGGGGUCAAAGGCUACAGGGUCUGGUGUAGAGGGGCUAAUAAGUGUCUGAUUAGUAGAGAUGUCCAGUUUAAUGAAGUGGCUAUGAUCAACAACUCUGAUCAAGCCACUUCAGCUAAUGACAUUAGUACAAGUGACACACAAGCCACCACAGAAACUGAUCAAGGUGAAAAGAUUGAGGUAGAGUUGUCUAAAGACUAUAAAGAUGAAAUACAACUAGAAGUUGUUGAAGCUGAGUCUCAAGAUGCAGAAGUGACAGAAGGUGAAGUACCACAAGCAACUGACUUACAACAAUAUCAGUUAGCUAGAGAUAGAGAAAGAAGACAUACCAGACCUCCAACAAGAUAUGCAUAUGCAGAUAUGGUUGCAUAUGCCUUGAUGAGUGCAGAAGUGUUACAAUUGAAGAACCUAAACAGCUAUAGAGAAGCAAUGAAUAGCAAGAUGAUGGGUGUCGAAGCCAACAAAAAUAAAUUCCUACUCUAAAUAAAUUGUGUAUAGUGAUUGAGCAGGGUCGUGUCCACAGAGAUCGGUAAUUAUUAAAUCCUUUUGAAACGUAAAACGUAAAAUGGGGGAAUUGUUGACAAUAAUAAAAAUCAAAUUAAAAUAACGAGAAUGUAAAUUAAAGUUGUGAUUCAAAUUGGAGAAAGCUCUGGUUGAAGGAAUUAACUCAGCUUGAUUCGACUACUGGUCAUUGAUUCAAAUAUAGAUUAUUAUUACUUAUGAAUAGACCGGUUAUAGCUACUGAGACCCUCUAAUAGCCAAUCUCUCCUUAACUAGUCGAUAACCAAGGUACGACCAUUGGUUAUUUCCCUAAUCAAUAGACAACCCUAGAUACGAUCAUAGGAUUUAAUCAAUUGACAGCCUGAAAAACCAGAGAGACCCAAAUCCUAAUCAACACAUAUGAUGAUUCAUUUAAAUUAGAUUGUUUAUUCUCACAACACAACUCUCUGCUAUGUUAUUUGUCACAAACAUUAAAUUCUUCAUACGAUGAAUCCUUUAAUUGACAAUAGAUUAAGUUGAUAAUUAAAUAGUGGCCAAUUACCUAAUUAACAAACAUAAUCAUGAAAAUAAUUCAGAGAAUAAACAAAUACCCAAAAAGUAAUAAAACAAUUAAAGCACAAGAAAGAUCUCACAGUAGUGAUGAAUCAAAGCUUCAUUAACCUUCAACCAGAAAAUGGGUUUAGUUCCUCAUAGAGAGAAGAGAAAAAUUAGAUCUAGGGUUUCUUUUUCUCCAAUCCAAAAUCCCCUUUUUCACAAUAGAUUCCUCCCUUAAAUACUCUCUCUCUCUCUCUCUCUUUUAGAAUUCUAUUUAAAAAUAAAAUAUUAAUAUCUGAAAUAUUAAAUUCGUAAUUACAAAAAUAACCAAAAAUACAAAACGUUAAACUAAAAACUGCAGGUCCGCAGUUGACAGCACGCGCCCACGCCUUAUCAACAAAGUUCUUCUGACGCUCAUAAUUUCUCCAAGAGAAACAAUCUCCUUAAACAUCAUCUUUUUUAGCUCAAUUUUAUCACCAAUCAAUAGAAUUGCACCUACAAAAGUAAAACACAAGUAAAACAUUAUUAUUAAGUGCAAAACAUCGAUAUUAAGGGAAGUAAACAAUGCAAAACUAGUGCAUAAAUUGCACUCUAACACAAGAACAACAGAAACUGGAUUAAAGCUAUGAGGGAGGAAAUGGAUUCUCUGAUAAGGAAUCAGACUUAGAUUUGGUCCCAAAUCCAGGGAAUAGGAAGAUUGUCAGCUGCAAGUGGAUAUUCAAGAAAAAGGAGGGCAUUCCAGGUGUUGAAGACUCAAGAUAUAAGGCAAGACUGGUGGCAAGAGGGUUCACACAAAAUGAGGGGAUUGAUUUCAAUGAAAUCUUCUCACCAGUGGUAAAACACAGUUCAAUCAGAAUCCUGCUUGCUAUGGUGGCUUUGUUUGAGCUAGAGCUUGAACAAAUGGAUGUAAAGACUGCCUUCCUACAUGGCAACCUUGAAGAAAAGAUACUAAUGUCUCAGCCUGAAGGUUUUGAAGAAAAGGGACAUGAGGAUUAUGCGUGUCUUCUUAAAAGGUCUUUUUAUAACCUGAAACAAUCUCCUAGGUAAUGGUAUAAGAGAUUUGAUCAGUUUAUGAUCUCCAAUUGCUAUCACAGGAGCAAGUAUGAUAGUUGUGUCUAUCAUGAGAUUAUAAACUCAAGUGGAAACUCAGGUAGAGCAGUGUAUCUUCUAUUGUAUGUUGAUGACAUACUCAUUGCUGGUACAAAUCUUAGUGAUAUUAAAAAAACUCAAGAACUUGCUGAAGGGGGAACUUGAAAUGAAAGAUCUUGGCAGUGCCAAAAGGAUUCUUGGAUAGACAUUGUUAGAGAUAGAGCAGCUGGUACCUUAUUUCUAAGUCAGUCAAGGUAUAUCAGCAAAGUGCUGGAAAGAUUUCAGAUGAUGGACUCGAAACCAGUACUGACACCUCUGAGAGCUCAAUUCAAACUCUCUGAAAACAUGUCUCCAACAUCAGAUGUUGAGGAGGUAAAGAUGGCUUAUAUACCAUACUCACAAGCUGUAUGAAGCUUGAUGUAUGCAAUGGUUUGCACCAGAGCAGACAUAACUUAUGCAGUAAGUGUUGUGAGCAGAUUUAUGAGUAACCCUGGUAAGCUUCACUGGGAUGUUGUGAAAUGGGUCAUGAGGUACCUGAAGGGCACCUUAGAUCAUGGUUUGAUGUAUGGUAAAUCCAAGCAUGAUGUUUGUGAAGUCAGAGGGUAUGUUGACUCUGAUUUUGCAGGUGACUUGGACAGAAGAAAAUCUAUCUCAGGAUAUCUAUUUAUGUUAGAUAGUUGUCUCAUAAGUUGGAAAGUUACUCUACAGCACAUAGUAGCUUUGUCAUCUAUUGAGGAAGAAUUUGUUGCUGCAACAGAGGCAGUGUUAGAGUGCAAUUUAUGCACUAGUUUUGCAUUAUUUACUUACCUUAAUAUCGAUGUUUUGCACUUAAUAAUAAUGAUUUACUUUUGUUUUACUUUUGUAGGUGCAAUUCUAUUGAUUUGUGAUAAAAUUGAGCUAUAAGAUGAUGUUUAAAGAUGAUUGUUCUCUUGGAGAAAUUAUGAGCAUCAGAAGAACUUUGUUGAUAAGGCGUGGACGCGUGCUGUCAACUACAGACCUGCAGUUUUUAGUUUAACGUGUUUUGUAUUUUUGGUUAUUUUUGUAAUUCCGAAUUUAAUAUUUUAGAUAUUAGUAUUUUAUUUUAAAUAGAACUCUAAAAGAGAGAGAGAGAGGGUAUUUAAGGAGGAAUCUAUUGUGAAAAAUGGGGAUUUGGAUUGGAGAAAAGAAAAGAAACCUAGAUCUAAUUUUUCUCUUCUCUCUAUGAAGAACUAAACUUAUUUUUCUGGUUGAAGGUUUAAUGAAGCUUUGAUUCAUCACUACUGUGAGAUCUUUCUUAUGCUUUAAUGUUUUAUUACUUUUUGGGUAUUUGUUUAUUCUCUGAAUUAGUUUCAUGAUUAUGUUUGUUAAUUAGGUAAUUGGCCACUAUUUAAUUAUCAACUUAAUCUAUUGUCAAUUAAAGGAUUCAUCGUAUGAAGAAUUUAAUGUUUGUGACAAAUAACAUAGCAGAGAGUUGUGUUGUGAGAAUAAACAAUCUAAUUUAAAUGAAUCAUCAUAUGUGUUGAUUGGAUUUGGGUCUCUCUGGUUUUUCAGGCUGUCAAUUGAUUAAAUCCUCUGAUCGUAUCUAGGGUUGUCUAUUGAUUAGGGAAAUAACCAACGGUCGUACCUUGGUUAUCGACUAGUUAAGGAGAGAUUGGCUAUUAGAGGGUCUCAGUAGCUAUAACGGUCUAUUUCAUAAGUAAUAAUAAUCUAUAUUUGAAUCAAUGAUCAGUAGUCGAAUCAAGCUAAAGUUAAUUCCUUCAACCAGAGCUUUCUCUAAUUUGAAUUACAACUUUAAUUUGCAUUCUGGUUAUUUUAAUUUGAUUUCUAUUAUUGUCAACAAUUCCCCCAUUUUACGUUUUACGUUUCAAAAGGAUUUAAAUAAUUACCGAUCUCUGUGGACACGGCCCUGCUUAAUCACUAUACACAAUUUAUUUAGAGUAGAAAUUUAUUUUUUGUUGGCUUCGACAACCAUCAAAUUUUGGCGCCGUUGCCGGGGAUUGGUGUCAUUUAUUUAAUCCUUUUUUACGUUUUACUUGGUGUGUGAUUCGUUCUUCUCGUACAAGUACACUUUUGUUUAAUCCUGAAAUUGAGAAGACAGCUCGCCAGCUGAGACAGCAGACAAAGCGAGCUAAGCAACGAUCCUCGGUCGCCUUUGCUUUCUGAAAACAGAUACGGUGCCUGAUUUGGUUGAAUCAUCUAGCGAUUCAGAGAACAAGUGAUGGAUAGAGCUGCACCUGUAGAAAGAACUCUUAGAGAGUUAGCUGAACUAGACUUGAAUCAGCAACCACUCUGCAUUCAAUAUGUAGACUUGGAGGUAAAUUUUGAAUUAAAGUCUGGUCUUAUUCAUUUAUUACCCAAGUUUCAUGGUUUUGCAGAUGAAGAUCCUCAUAAACAUCUCAAGGAGUUUCAUGUUGUAUGUUCAAGUAUGAGACCACAAGGCGUGACUGAAGAGCAGAUUAAGUUGCGUGCUUUUCCUUUUCUCUUUAGAUGGACUAGCUAAAGACUGGUUGUACUACUUGCUCCUGGAUCAAUUACAACGUGGAAUGGUUUGAAGAAGCAAUUCCUCGAGAAGUACUUUUCCUGCUUCAAGAGCUGCUAACAUCAGAAAAGACAUUUGUGGGAUCAGACAACUUCCUGGGAGACUUUGUAUGAGUAUUGAGAGCGAUUCAAACAAUUGUGUGCCAGCUGUCCUCAGCAUCAGAUUUCUGAUCAACUUCUUAUUCAAUAUUUUUACGAAGGACUGUCAUUGAUGGAUAGGAGUAUGAUAGAUGCUGCUAGUGGAGGCGUGUUGGUGAACAAGACCCCUACUCAAGCAAGGGAGCUGAUAUCAAAUAUGGCUGCCAACGCACAACAAUUUGGCAGCGGUUGGAGGAUUUCCAGGCAUGCCUCAGAGGAGGUAUGAUCCUUAUGCACAAACAUACAAUCCGGAAUAGAAGGAUCAUCCCAACUUCAUUUUGUAGCUUUCAUGAAAAACUUUCGUUGUCAUUUAUAUCAAUAUCACUAAUGUCACUAUCUGAAUCAUUAUUCUUGUUACCAUGUUGCACAAUUGUGUCAAGAUGGCAAUUAGUGUUUUCUUUGCAAGGAGCUCUAUGCAAGACUUUAGAUGUGGAUGCUCCUCGGAUGUUUAAUUCCUAUUCAUUAUUAUUAGUAAGUAUGUUUUGGACACAUUAUCAUAGACAAUAAGUCCUCCAACAAGAUCCUCUUCAUCAAUGCUAUCAUUUGAAUCAUUGCUUUCUUUUUUCAUGAGAGUGUUUAGCACAUUGUGCUUGUAUGUGCCCUAUGCCUCCACAUUCUCUACAUCGAAUACCCUUAAGCUUGUUAAUAUAAAUCAAUUUAGGAUUAGGGUUAGAGGAACCUUUUCGAGCUGUUAGAGCAACUGAUGUAGAAGUUUUCUUUGGUUUGUUAAAGUUCUUUCUUUUUUUCAAUAUCUUAUUGAAAUUUUUGCAAUAAAUACAAAAAGAAUUGUCCACUAUACAUAUGGAUCACCAUCCUCAUUGGGUUUGGUGACAGGAGCCUCCAUUUCAACCUGAAAAGAAAUACCUUUUUCUUUUUUGGGAUUUAAAUUCAAGUAGUUACUUUCAUAAACCAUCAAUUUUCUUAUAAGUGAACUCCAAGUCAUGGUAGACAUAUCAAUAUAUUCUUCAAUGACCAAAUUUUAGGAUGAUAUCAAUGAUGGAUAGAUCUUAAAAUUUUUCUACAAAUUUCCUCCUUAGAAAUAAGUUUUCCAAAAUAAAAAAAUCAUUUACCAUAGUAAGGAUUCUAGAAUUAAAUUCAAAUGUGGUUUCAUGUUCAUGCAUUUUCAAGUUCUCAAAUUCAUAUGUAUGUUUUUGAAGUCUAGAAUGUUUUAUUGUAUUAUCGGCUUCAAAGUACUUUAGAGUAUAUCCCAAAGCAAUUUUUGGAUGUCUUGCAUGUAGAAAUUAGUUGGUGUUAAAACACAUCAACUCCAUUGACAAUAGCAUUACGUCUUUUUGCAAUUAUAACAAAUACAUCGAGUUUAUCAUUAGUGCAUUCUCUGACUGGUUUUAGAGAUUCUACACCAUUUUCAUUAGUUAUGGUGGGUGAAGUAUAUCCUAUAAGUACACAUUGUCAAACUCUUUCAUUAAUAACUACAGAUAAAUUUUCCAUAAUUUGCUUCUAAUAAGCAUAAUUUGUCUUAUCUAAUAUAGGUGGACGAGCCAAAGAGCCUCCCAUUCUUUACAAAACUCAUACCUACAAAAUAGAUCUAGGUUCCAAAAUUCUCACCAUAUAAACGAUUAAUGCCCUGCUCUAAUACAAAUUGAAAGGAAUUUAAUCUAUUGCAAAUAGAUGUAGGCAAUUAAAACCCUAGAAUUAAACAAUUUAAUUAAUUUUAGAGAAUACUGUUCAAUAUUACUGUUCAUCAGUUACUGUUCAUCAGCAUAAAAAAAUAUUGAUUUUCCAAAACACAAUAAAUUACAGAAAUUAAAUGACACGGAGAUUUUUACGUGGUUCAAAUUAAUCAAUCUUAUAUUCACGAGGCCACGCCCAGAUGAAAAGCAAUUCAUUAAGUUGAAAUGUUACAACCUAUGGAUUUACUAAAAUUAAAACUCUUACUUAUAAUUUAUCACCAUACAACUUACUAACCUUAGAUUGAAUUUGUUUCUCUUGAAUAAUUACUACCUCUCUUGAUCCACGAUCCUCAAGGCACUUUGCAAAGUGAUUAAUAACAAUUCUUUAAUUCUUCAAUGCCUAGUAAUCCAAGAUCCACAUAGACUCUCCAUAAAGAUGAAAAGAAAUAGUCUCAUUACGAGACUUUGAAUGAAGAAGAUACGAAAACAAAUCAACACAACGUUAUGCGCCAAAUUUGGAUUCUAGAGAGGAGACUGAAUUUUGCUUCUUUGUUUUUAUGCUCUGUAUUGUGCCUCUUCAUUAUGAAAUACUCUCUUUACAUAGGCACUAAUAUUUCACAAAAAUGGCAAGUCUUAAAAAACUUGAAUUCUUUUCCAAAUAAGAGUUUCUUUCCUCUUAUAAUUCUUAUGAACUAGAAAUAAAAAUAAAUCUGAUUUUCUUGCCUUACUUGUCUCCCAAGAAUAUCUACAACAUUUAAUAAACUUCUUGUUUGAACUAACUUCUUGCUCUAAAUAAAUCUUAAGCGCCAAUUAUAGAAUCUCAUCAUUAAUAGACUUACUAAAUUAGACAUCUAAUUAAAUUAGGAAACAAAUAUUCCUAAUAAAUUAGAAUUUCACUAAAUUAGAAAUUAAUAAUUUAAUCCUUAUUACAAGAUAUGCAAUAAAUAAAAAUUAUAAUUUAAUUAGACUUGCCAUAAGAUAACAACUCUAUAAAUAAUGGACUUAACAAUGAUUGAUGUAUUUUGAGUUUAAAUUUGUUAAUCACAUGUUAAACUAUGGUUAGUUUAAUUCUCAUGGAUUUUAGUAUUGAAUAAGUGACUUAGAAUUUGAAUGAAGUUGGAAGAAAAUUUGUCUAGUUGCUGUCAUUCUUAACUUUCAAGCAGUUAUAAUUUUUAUAACUUCAGAUUUAUUAAGGAGAAAAUUCUGAAUUUUGGAUAUAGUUAAAUAGACAUAUGAAAAAGUCUCUGCACUACAAGAAAACUGACAAUAGAUGACAAACAUUUUGUGACGGAAAUGGCGUAUGUCAUAAAAGUAUGAUAGAGUCGUGAUAAAUUUUGUAUCUAUCAAGUAUUCAUGAUGACUCAUGAUAGAAAUAAAUUAUGUCAAUAAUAUGUGACGACUUUGUGAUAUAAUAUAUUACAUCAAGAAUUCAUGAUAGAAUUUUAAUGUUUACUUGAUUUUAGCGUUUCUUUGAUUGAAUUUUUUUGUAUUAUUUGAAAUAAAAUAUUAUAUGAAUCAAGAACAUUGUCGUUUUACUUAAGUUGUAACGAUGAUGUUUUGCUUAUAAAUAUUAAAUAUUUAAAUUUUUUAUUAUAAAAUAAAAAAGCUAUUAAAAUAAAAAUAAAAAGUUAAAAUUAAAAAGAAACCCUCAAUUUGCUUUCCUAAGUGUUGAGGUUCCCACCCAUUCUCACACAAAACGAUUCUCUCAUAAAACCACCUAAAACCCUAGCCUCCUUACAGCCACUCUCAAUCGACCUAGGUAGAUGCUCACAUCCAUAGCCACCAUGGCGGAAGCGUUCGAAUCGGGUUUGUGUUUCUUGGUGUAGCGGAAGUGUGGCGGUGUCAUGGCUCUACUAGUUGCACGUGAGGCUCCAGUAUGGGCUGACGGUAUGUGAUGACCACAAAAAGAAGCAAUACAGUGGCAACAAAGCGUGUUUCAUGCUGGUUGCAGUUGUCACGGACUAGCGGCGUGAGCUUCCAAUGGCCAAUUGUGCUCAUUUUGCGCAUCGACUCGCCUUGGGUCUCAUGGCAACGAGCUAUAGAUUUAUGGUGCUAAUCUUCGUCGUCUUGCUAUCAACGCUUUACCAAUUUUCAUCAUUAUCAGCCGCCGACUCUUCUUCAUCGUAUCGAAGCCUAUUGGCAGUUCAUAGGAACAGCAACCGGAUCCCACGCUGCAACAAAAUGGGGUCAAGAUCUGAGUGUUCGCAGAACCCCAAUGCAAAUGGUACCGUAGUGAAGCUCUUGAUGACAUGUGCUUCACAAAUCUGAAGCUUGAAGGCUGCCUCACCAGGUCUUCAUUUGUGAUUCUUGAUUCAUCACUCUUCUUCUUCUUCUGCCAGGUUAGAUGACUUGGUUAAAUUUAUCCUUCUUUUGAGUACUUUACCCUAACGGGGGAGCUCGUCUUUGAAAUGGUUUUUCUCUCUUACUUCCCUUUUGUAUUUGUAUCUUAUCUUGUACUUGAUUGUAUAAAUGAACUCAACGGAAGUUCCAAUGGCCAAUUUUAAAUAUUUGUUCUUUAAUUCUUAUUUUUUUUAUUUAAUUUAUUUAAUUUUUAUCUUAUUUUGGCGAGUGUUUGAGAUUUAUGGUUUGGAUUUGUAAUUAUGGUGAGUGUUUUUAUUGGUCUGGAUCCGUUUUGAGUAUAUCCUAAGCAAGUUUUUGGCACUUUUAAUAGUUUUAGGAUAUUCUUUUAUCUAUGUUCUUAUUUGUUAGCCGAAGUAGCUUUUACCACUCAUUUUCUUUUUUGUUGAUACCACGUAAAAGUAAUUUGGUAUUUUCUCUAAUUAAAUACUGCAGAUUCUAAUCAUAUUAGUGAAAGAAAAUAUUUAGAUGGUUUAUUAAUCUCUUCUAAAAAUAUAUUAGUAUUAACAAUAACGAUUAUUUAGCAAAUGUUUGUUGCAAUGAUGUUGGAAUGUUCGUAGUUUAUGUAGGUAUCCGGACUCUGCUAUUUGGGGUCUCUGUAAUGUGUUUCUUUUUUCCCCCUACCACUCUUUAGUUUAUCUCUUCUAUUAUGAAUGCUUUAGAGAAAUAUUUUUUAUGUUGCAGGGUAAGAGAAAUGGUUAGUUUUUGAUGAGUAAUGGAACUACCCUACUGGAAGGUGUCUAUAAAGAGUUAUUUUUUACCUUUCUUAGUUAACCACUUAAAUCCUUCCAAAGCAGAGUGUAUGUUGGUCAUGUCCCUGUUGUAAAGCUUUAUGCUACUGUGUUAAAGAAAUGGUCCGAGUUCUUGAGGAGUAUUGGGAUUGCAGUACUCGGCUCUGGGUGAGUUUUUCAGAUUGUUUCUUAGUUUGCACCUGUAUCUUUGAAUACAUGAAAUCUAUAAAGUUGCGGUUAUGUUCUGGUUUUUCAUUUUUUCAAAUUUUUAUUGUAGUGAUUGGCAUGUUCGUUUCUAUCUAUGUUAGACCAGCACAUAAAGUUCAGAUAGUAUAUUAGUCUUCCCCCAAUUUUUUAUGCUGUAGUUGUGCAAAUGUUCCUGUGUUUUUAGGGGAAUCUUGGAACACGAUGAGCUUUUUGGUUCAUAUUUGUUAUUUCUUGCUCUUAAAGGUUCAAAUUAUAAUUUGCUUUUCUAUUUGGAAAUCUAUGCCUCAGGGACAACAUUUCCAUAUUUUUGUGGAUUAUUGGACUAUGCUACUAAAUAGAUUUUUAUUCUUUUUCUUAGGCACGUAAAAUCAACUUGUAAUUUGGUUAAUCUAUUGAGUUUUUAAAUCUUCUAGUUUAUUACUCCUCUUUCUAGCUGUGUAGACACAUAAAAUCAACUUGUAAUUUGGUUAUCAUUUGUGCAAAUUUUGUGUUGCAGUGAUAGUGAGAUGUUUCUACUUUUGUGGAAUAACAGUGACUCUGCUGAAUGGGGGGGGGGGGGGGUCUUUAACUUUGUUUUUUGUUUUGCCAUAUUUUGUUGCAGUGAUGGCAGCGUGUUUCAAAUUUUAUAGGAAUGUGAAGGCUAUUUAUCUUGAGGGACUUGAGUGUUUUGUCUCUUAUCUCACUCUCAUUUCUAUUUAUGUUACACAGGCACAUGAAGUUCAGAUAGUCUUCUUUUUUCCCCCAAUUUUUGUGCUGCUGUUGUGGAAAUGUUCCUGUGUUUUUAAGGAAUUUUGGAACACAUUACACUGGUAUAUAUUGAGCUUUUUAGUUCUUAUUUAUUAUUUCCAGCUCCUGCUUAUGCCCAUCUAUCCUCAAGGUUUCGAUUUAUAUAUAGUCUGCUUUUCUAUUUGGAAAUCUAUGUUGUAGGUUCAACAUUUCUAUGUUUUUGUGGAUUAUAGGGACUAUGCUACUAAAAUAGAUUUUUAUUCUUUUCCUAGUUUAUUACUUUCGUUGGCUGACCGAAUGCAUGAAGUACAUUUUGUAACUAGGUCUUUGAUUUUAAAAAAUUUUAUGUUGCAAUUUGUUGAAAUUAAAGUUGCAGUGUCAAAUUAUAGUAGUUUCUGUUAACGGUUGUAGUGUGCAUGUUAUGCAUUCGAUAACAUUGGGUAUUUUGAUUGAUUUUGAAUAGAUUGGUUUGCUGGGUUUGGUUUGGAAUGUUGCUGGGUAUAUGGCUGGAAUUGCAAUGGUGUUGGAAGAUGGUGGGUAUGUGGCUGGAAUUACAGUGGGUUGGAGAGUUACUGGGUACGUGGCUAUUAGAGUAUUGCCGCUGGAAGAGGGUAUUACUACUGGAAGUCUUGCUGUUGGAGUAUUUCCAUUAAUCUUUGAAAGUUUUGUUGGGUAACUUGGCUUAAUGCCGGAUGUGUCAUUCAUGUAAUAACUAUAGACUUUUAUACUUUUUAUUUUACCUUAUUUUGAUACGUGUUCUUUAUUCCUCUUGGAACCUUUAAUUGAUUUACGCGAGCAUCACAAUGGUUCCAAUGGGACAAUCUUAUUAUGCAGUUCCUAUCCGACAACCUCAAAGUGUCACAAUUGUUCCGUUUGUACAAAAUAUAUUUACACAAUCAGUCUCAAGUCCUCUGAUGCCCGAGUUCAAAGUUACAUCUCUUCCCAUAAUCCUUGAAAGGUUCAGUAUUAUAUUGCCAUAACUGCGGCUUUGAGAUCAGGAUCCAUUUGCUGGGAAUAUAAUUCAAUAUAGUUUCAUUGAAAGCCUAAAUCAGUCUGAACAAUGAUACCAAUUAGCAAACACAAUAAUGAUGAACAAUGGCUUGAAAACAGUAACUUCAUUAUUGAAGGGUCGUAUAUGAAUGCUACUUGUUAAUGCGGAGAAGAAUAGAAUUCUUAUGCAUCUAUCUGUUGACUUUUUCCUGAGCUGAAUUUUUUUUACACAUAUAAUUUUAUUUUUAUUUUUUAUAUUAAUAACAACUAUUUGAUUGAUGUAUGUUACAAAAUUAUGAAAUUUAACAACUACUUUUUUUUUAAUGUUUUAUUUACUCUUUUAAUUGAUAAGAGAAAUGUUAAAUCAACCAUGGGGUGACAGAUCCCGGAGAAAAGCAAAGGCAAGACGAUGUAGUGUUGUCACAGGGAAAAAAAAAAUAAUUAUUAGGUCAACCGCUAGGGUCAACGGUAUUAACUUGCUCAACUCGCCCGGCAAGAAACAAAAUAUUGUACAACCCUUGAAAAUUGGAACUCCAAUAUAAACGAAAAGGAGAAGAGCCUUCCGAGAAACCUCAGAUAUCAGUGUCAGUAAUUUUUCGAGAAGCAGCCGGCUUGCCCAGAAAAAAAAUGUUAAAUCUUCUUUUUCUCAAGUAAUUUUUGGAACAUAUCCAUUGAUCAAACAUAAAGACAAGUCAAACAAUUAUGAAUCGUUUUCAUAUUAAUAAAUAUACAGAAUGGCACAAAUUUGUUGGGCUAUUUAUGUUGGAAAUAUGAGACAAAAUAACUUUUUUGAAAGACCAGAUCAGCCAGAACAACAACACCCAUCGACAAACUGAACGGUGAUAAACAGUAGACUGACAACAGUAUUCUUUGUUAUUUAACAACGAAGGUUGCAAUCAUAACCUUGUGGUUGCAACCGGGAACCAAAUAGUUGCUUCCUGCAACUAUGAAUUUAUCAUCCGACCAACAAAUACCGACUCAGAGAAAAUUCCUCAAGGCAUGUGCAAAUCAUUGUCCUAAAGGGUAAUUUUCCCUAUACCAAAACAUCUGGCGAUCUCACAUCCUUAUAGUCAUUUUUAGGAUCAUCAAGAUAAUUCAUUUGCAAAUCAUCUUGACAGGGUGGACCCAGAAAUUUUAAUUAGGCAGGGUUAAAUAAGGAAUUUAUGAAUUUAUUGAAUAUGUUAUGCGUGAACAUAGCAAAAAAAAAUAUUCAAAAGGUACUGCAACAUCAAUGAACUUGCUCUAAAGGAAGUAAUUAAAAAAAUAAAUUACUAUUUGAUAUUGAAUUUUAAAGGUUCCAACAUUAGAAUAACUUAAUUAUAAAUACUAUUUUAGUUAUUUUAAUAAAGAUUGAUUUCAGGACAAACUUGAGAAAAAAAAAAACUAAAAAUGAAAGUAACAUAAAAUUUAAGGAUAUUGAGUAAUUUUUUGGUCUAGCCCGGUCUAGUCCCCACACCACACGCCACUGCAUUUGGAUCUGGUCUUACAAACAUAUUUUUGCUACUCUGGAUAUGGCACCAUGAGGAUAUUGUCCUCUGCCAACAUCUGUGGAUAACUCUCUGAUUUCCUCCUGUAAUUUGAACUUGAAUAUUAAUUAACAGCGUAAAAAAACAAGUAAUGAAAAAGCUGGAUUUAUAAGUUGAAAGAAUUGACAAAUUAAUUACCCGGAGCUCAGGAUAGCCAUAUUUCAUAAUGUGUCCAACACUAACAUUUUGGUCGUUGACAGCUUUGAUAGUUGCAUGAGUCGUCCUACUCAUAUAGCGAUUUGAAUUCACUCGGACGGACGGCAGCAAGCACAUGGAGAGGAGUGUUCCCCUUGGCAUCUCCCUCAUUUUAUAAGGAUCCUCGCAAACGGGUUUCUUAGAAGAGGUUUUAAAUCUUGCAAUUGAAAACUGGCCACAGCAUAAUGAAGAAAAUUCCAUCUCCUGUUAUCGACCAGUUCAAAACAUUCUGGAGCAAGAGAAAGAAUUGUUUCAACUGUUCGGGCAUGUCCUCGGCCGCUGCUAAAUGAAGAGCUGUCAUCUUUCGAUCUUUGUCAGCAAUGUUUGUAGCAGUUUGAUCAAUUUCUAAUAAAUCAUUUAUCCCAGUACUUCCCAUGAUAUGCAGCGUAAUGAAUCGGAGUCCACCCAUAUUGAUCUGUUACUUUAAGCAGACUCUUCUUUCUUCCAAAUAAUUGUCGCAAUCGCAUGAUGAUCUCCUUCUGAGAAUACAGAGACAAAAGAUAAAUAAAAUUAGAAUUCGAAUUGAAUUUUUAACCACCACCUCGGAGGAUUUGAACUCCGAUAGCCAGCUAAAUAUAAUUACAUGAAAAUCAUUCUGCCAGGCCUCAGGGCCAACUACAAACUUAAUUAAAACAACACUCCAAGAGUGAUAAAAAAAGCAUGAACAAACUUACAAGAAAAGAUAUCAAGAAUCAAAUUCCCACUAUUAAUUAAACUUACUGAAUUCAAAGUACAUAGCUGCAGCAUGUAAAGCCGUCUUUCCGUUGGGGCCUUCAUGGGACAAUGAUGUACAGUUUUCUAACAAGGUAAGCACCAUAUCGGAAGACUCAGACUCAGCAGCCAUGUAGAGCGGUGUUUUGCCAUAAUCAUUUGCUGAAUAUGGAUAAUCCGGGUCUUCUCUCGUCAGUAUUUUCACCACCUCCAUGUUGCCAGGAAAGAUUGCGUCGUGCAGUGCUGUAUUCUUCUUAUUAUUCACCAUCCUAAUCAUCUGCCUUGCAGCUUCAACCCUGCUCUCUGGCUCUUCAUCUCCAUGUUGAGCUAGUUUGCUCUGCCAAUAAGAACUCUCACUAUAUCAGAAUGGCGGAAUUUUGCUGCAACGUGGAGCGGAGUAUCGCCUUUGGCAUUAACUUGUAUUAGCAGUGCUGGGCAUAUCUCAAGUAUCUCUUCUACGAACUUGGUUGACGCAUUUUCUGUUUCCUGACAUAUGAUGUUGACAUGCAGGAUUGUGUUCCUAGUCUGUAAUGUUAACAAGCUCUCAAUUACUUCUCUUGCCAUAUCUUUGAAGGGUUCAGCAUUGCCAUCAGCUGCAGCCUUUAACAACUUUGGAUCCGUUUGUGACUGAUUCGCGGCUUUGCUGCCCAAUGAUGGAGCUUCCUCAAACUCAAUGGAAAUAGUAGAAUCCAUGUUGGCUAAGUUGAUCUAUUAGGUAAGGGUAUGUAGUAGUUUAUGCAUGUGUGUGUGGAGAAGUGUAGUAUUUUUCACACUAAUUAGAAUCUUAAAUCUUUGGACAAGCCAAGUAUCAAAAUUCUUUACCUCGAUUCCUUCCUACAUAUUAAAAAGUAAAUGGAAGAUGAUCAGUCCUUAUCUUAGGAGUUAGAAAAGAGAGUCCGAAUCAGAUGCCACAUAAUCGUGUAAAAUCUGUCAAGCAGUAAUCCUGAAUACAAAGCAAGAAUCUGUAUGGAAGGAAAGAGAUCAAUAAGAUUGUGAAAAUGAAAGGAAUAAUCUCAUGAAAUCAUUGCACAAUUAAGUAGUGAUUCUUACCAUGUGAUGUAUCUUGCCCUGCAUAUAAAUAGCAAAACUCUAUACCAAGAAGUUACACAGCAAUGAUAAACCAUUCUCCCAGUGCAAUUCUUCUGGUAGUUUUUAUUCCUUUAGACUUUUAACUUGGUAUCAGAGCAGGAAGCAUUUCUGGGUUUUUUUUAUUUAAUAGGAAAUUAAAAAAAAAAAUGCUAAUGCUAAGCAAACUCAGGGUCCCUCUGGGGUCAACACGGCAGCUGCUGUAUUAUGUGUGCAUUGUACACCAUUAUGCUGGCUUAUGGAGCUACUUAGCAUGAAAUAAUGUAGUCUCAUGUUAGUCAGACUGCCCACUUACAAAGUUUGAAAUGUGUAAUAUGUAUUAAGGUUUGUUACAAACCUUCAAUAAUGGGUUGAGGGAUAAAAUCAUUGCUUUAGUAUUUUUGAAUUUUUAAAUGAGGGAAAGGGUCUUAUUUUUGGGUUCGGAGGGUCGAAAAUAUUAAAAUAGUUAACAACCAGGACUAAGUUAAGUUAGAGAUAGGAUUGAAAAUGGAUUUUUGGAGGUAGAUUGCAUUCUCAUGUAAUGCACUCCGCAGAGACAUGGGCAUCCUCGUUGACUUUCAUGUUGACCAAAGGUUGAUUGACUGUUGUAUGCGACCUAACGUAGACCUGGCCGCUCGAAAUUGCGAUCUCUGAAGAACGGGCCGCUUGACCCGCCUAUGUUUUUAACGCGAUUGAUCAGUCUAUUUUGGCCACUGAUUUUACUCCAAGUUGACGGUUCUGAAGGUGCCACAUCACCUGAUUCUGAGCCUUUGACCCGUAUCAUCAAGUGGCCGUUUUUGGAUCCGUUUUUAAUAACCUUCCAUCGAAUUUCAUCUCUAACCAGCUAGCCGUCCCUCUGGAAAAGCAAAAAAAGCAAGCAACAGUGGUGGCCCUUUCGGGUGAGCCGACUUUGAAGAUUAUUAGUGGAACUUGGAUAAUUUAUUCAUGUUGUAUUAUCAAAAAUUAAUAAUAAAAUUAUGUGAAAGCGUACCUAAAUCUAUAAUGCUUAAUUAUUCUCUAAGAAUGCCGUGGUUGACCUUUCAGAUCAAUACGUUCUCCUAAAGAGUUUUUUAAUUCUCUCUGCGAACUCUCUCUCUGAUGGUGGGAUAUAAGAAAGAAUGGAAAAAUACAUGUGACCUGGGGACCAUAACCACUUAUAUAGAUAAUUUUUUUCUUUUGUCAUUAUGUAUUCUUAAUUUUGUCUAUCAUAGAAUUAGAAUACCAUUAGAUCUCUAAAUAUUAAAGGCUCACACCCUGUUAGAUACAUUAAAGCUCAUUAUACCGAAAACCUUAAUAGAUUUUCACCUUUAAUUGGGUUUAACCUUAUAUGAUAGUUUGUAACACAUAAUUAUUUACAUAUAAGCUCAACGUUGAAUUAAGGAUCCAACAAUAUUGGAUUAAAAAAAUCUAAUAAUCUCCACUUGGGCUAUAUGUGUAACCUUAUAAUUAUGUUCUGCAAAAAUAAUCGUAUGAGCACAACCUUACUGUCAUUAUUGAAAUGUAUCCACAGCCAAUUUGAUCCAUCAAUCAUAUCAACAUCGGAUCAAAGCGGCCUUUUUUAUAACUAUCAUAACUUGACCCAUCAAUAGUCACUGUGUCAAUACAAAACUGAAUGACAUGAAUCGUAAUAUGGAUGUGUAGUAUAAAAAUUUCAUGCAAUAUGAUCUUUAACAUGUCUAUUUCCAACUAGUCCAUCUUAAAACUUAGUAGAUCAAACCAUACUAAAAUCAAAGUGUGAGUAAACCAAAACUUUAUUUCUACAGAAAACAAGUUGAAAUAUCCAUAAACUGAAAUAACUGAAAAAUGUCUUAUUACAAGAGCAUCUAAAAUCACAAACUCUCACUAAAACUGAAUAUCAUUUAAUAACACGACACUCAUACGAGCAACAUGCUCAUGAAACAUUUUAGCCAUUGGACCAUUUGUAUCUACAUGCAUUAGGAUCCCGAUUCACGAAUAUCUCAAUUCGAGAAAUCAAAAUCAGAAAGAGCGACCUAGUAUUGGUACUACCUUUCGACCGAGAAAUUGAGAAUUAAGAGAAUGCAUCGAAAGUUUGGGUGGUAAACAUUUUGGGUAGUAAUCCCUUAAUAAGUGAUCCGCAAUCAUGGAGUUUGUACUGACGUGCUCUAUAAACAAUUGUCUACUCUGAACUCUUUCUUUAACAACUAGGAACUUGAUGUCUAUAUACUUUCGACUUCGUCGAGCUCCUAUUGUUAUUAGAAUACAGUACUGUGGGCUUAUUGUCACAAAAUAAUAUGAGUGGUCUAUCAACACCAUCUUGUUAGCCUAAAGGGCUAUAUAUUUUGUAAUUUUGAUGAUAACAAACAUAUAUCUUAAGUAAUAUGAUAAAUAUUGUAUUCCAUAUUUUCACUAGUUCUUAAAGGAUAAUAUUUAUGUAAGUGAAUCGCCUGAAAUUAAGCUUAUGACACUCAACGGACAAUGGUGUGAUCAAGAAGUUUAGCCCAACGGAGUCAUUAUUGCGACAAAUUCUUGUAAAGCCAAUAUGAUUUAAUAUAUGCAUGGUUUAGAAUUUGAGAAACUCAAGCUUUUAUUUAAUAAAUCAUUACUUUUCAUAAACCAAAAGAUUUUAUAUUUAUAAGAUAAAGUAUUUUGUGGAUUUGAGUAAUUUGGAUUAAAUUGAAAAUGUUUUGAGAACUUUGAAAUCAAUAAGCAUUAUAGUAAAAUUAUGAAAAAGAAUUUUUUUUUAAAAAUAUUUUAAAGUUUUGCGCCAUAGUAUAAUUCCAGAAAAUUUUGGAAAUUUUGAAGUUGGAUCUAUUUGUAAAAUUUUAUAAUAUUUUAGGCCAUAGUCAAAUUACUAAAUGUUUUAGGUAAAAAUAUAAUUUUAAAAAUAGUGUUACUGUAGUUUCCAUCUCUGUGUGAUUAUACGAAGUAAGGAGCUUCUCGAAGAUAAGCGUGAAAACUAAGUUCUACAGAAAGGGUUGCUGUUGGAGUUGAAGACAGACCGAAUGACCGAUGGGGUAUUGUUGGCUGUUGCACAGCAACCUGUGUUUUUUCUUUGAAGCUAGCACUUGGCUUUUGAUAGAUUCCAUCUGGUCAUUAAUUUUUUUAAUCGAUUUUGAGGGUUGAAGAUACAUUUCUUUGCUAUAUCAAGAGCAGUAUGCUUUUGUGUUCUGUUAUUAAAGAAUGGCGAUGGUCCUUUGUCUCAACGUGAUUUAUUGUUUUGCCUAUGUUUUCCAUUCUCUUGUGAUUAUAGUGGCAUUUUUAUUCAUAAUAUAUAUUUUUGUAUUUUUUUGGUAUUUGGCCUGUUUGGAUGUGUACUCAUAGUAGACAAGAAAGAGGCAAAAGGGCAGUCUGACGGAAAUUCCUGGCUUUGUGAUGGUUAUGGGCGCAGCACCCUUUCGAGAUUUUGUGACGGCGUUUUUGCAGUCACAACAUACCUUUUGUCACCCUCGGGACACGGUUAUAAACUCUGGGACCCUCGCAUGUGUCACCGCUGUUUGCUGUCAUAUAGCAGUCACAAAGAGCUUCUGUGAGGGUAAAUAAGUAAAUUAGAUAAACCACUAGUUCUUGUAGUUUAACUUGUUAUGUUUAUAACUCACUCAAUGGAUAACAUAUAAAAUAUUACAUCAUUAACUAUUUUAAUUAAGUAUCUAAAGGGAAUAAGUAUAAUAUUAUUUUUAUCUAAAAAAAUAAUUUUGUAAUUACUUAAUUUUUUUUUUUUUGUAGUGAUAUACAAUAGAAAUUUGUUGGGAUUUAAUCAAAAUCACAUUUAUUAUAAAUGACAAACCUAGACUAGAAAUACCUACCCUCUUACAUUAGAGAGUAUAUCAGACAAAAACUUGAACAUGUGCCCUCAAUAAGGUUCUUUACUACUUGGCUAAAGACCGAAUAAUAUUAAUGAGUGUUGCUUAUGAUUGAGUAGUGAAAUUUGACUCCUUCAUUUUAACUCAAUAAUCCCUACUUUUUCUAUUUUAAUUGAAAUGUCUAAACUACCCACCAAAAUAAUUUAAAUUUUUAAGAACUCUAGAGUAAUGAAGAAAGUUAAGAAGAAAUUAGAUUGUUAAUAAAAAAAAAAUCGUUGAUGAAGAUGAUGUUAAAAAUUCUGGUCGAUGAUGAUGCAACGGCACUUUGAUUCGCCUAGUAAGAGUAGUACUGGGACACAAGAGUAAGACCUACAUCCGCUCUCCGUAAAAAAUAAAGUACUCAAAAGCAUAUGGUAGCUGACUAGAGCGUUCUAUGUAACAUUUUGCAAUUAUUCCAAACAGAUGAAUAAGGGUACUUUUGGAAAUACAUAAAGAUAAUUGAAUAGUGGGUGUUAUUGAAAUAAAUCAAGGGGGUCAAAUACCAUUACUCCUUUUGUUUUUUACUUAAACAAGUGCCCUCAAUAGAUUCUUUACCAUCAGGCCAAAGGCUUAACGGUGUCAAUGAGUGUUUCUUAUAUUUUCACUUUUGCAUACUAACUCUUUGAAUUAAGGGUGGAGCUUUUAACACUUCUUUAAAAUUCUUCCAACAUCCUUUUAAAUUUAUUUUUCAAAUACCACAGUUUAAUUUAUAAAAUAUAAAUCCAUAUAUUAAAAUCAAUUAUCUUACCAUAAAAUUUCUCUCCAAAAUGAAUACAUUAUUGGUACCUAAAGAUUUAACCAAACUUUAUUUCAUUUUACAAAUAAAUAAAAUAAAAUUGGACAGUUUCUUUGCUGUCAACAUGCAAAUAUUCUAGAUAUUUUUGUAAUCCAUUAAUUUGAAGUUCUCAGUCAAACUACGCUGGGACAGUUUGUCUGCACGGUUACUUUUAUUCAAUCUGAGAAUCAAACUAUCACCUUCCGAGGCAUUACAACAUUUGACCGGAUAAAACUAAACGCAAAUUAAUAAUCUACUUUCAUCAUCAAUACAUCUCUUUGCUAUCAUUUUUUUUACUAAUCUUACAAACUAAAAACGAAAAACGAAAGCAAAAACAAAUAUGACCACCAUCAUCAUCGUAUAAAACCCGGGAUACAAAGACGACUUCUGAUCAUCACAGAGGAUUACCGAAUUGACGAGCAGCAGC
rnacentral:lncRNA from 1 species